rnacentral:rRNA from 9 species
CCCCAGGUCAGGCGGGGCUACCCGCUGAGUUUA